UCUCAGCAGCAGUCUUGCACUGAAAAGCAUAAGAUGUACACUUUCUAGGAAGUUCUUCAUUUACUUCUGAAGGAAGUGUCUUUCUUUCAUACAUGCACAACUGAGUUGUUUUCUACUGGGAGGACAAACAGGGAGCAUUUGAGGGCGAGAUCGAGAAACAGCUGAGGUGAGUAGGGAGGGAAAAUGGCCUAGCAGCAGUAGAGGGUACUGGGACAGUGGAUGUUCAGUAUGGGCUGGUGCCCUCCACGGGGGAGCUGAGGAAGGACACUUCUCUACCCUACAUUCUGCACCUGGUGCUGGGCUCUGGCAGGCAGCCAUUCUCCCGCUUCACCCUGUGUUAUCCAUCCACUGCUCAACAGCACCAAAGCCUCCCUCGGUCAUCCCUCUCUGUCAGUCUCAGAGUUGUCAGCAGCGCUAUCACUCACAGUGGCCCACUGAAAGAUUUAAUAAUUGAGAAAUGUUAUGGCAUCAUCAAGGAGAACGGGUGGAAGAAGAUUGAGACGGCCUUUCAAGUACUAGAUGAUAAAACUUGACACAAAGAAGAAAACUCUUAGUACAGUGAGAAUGAUUGUUGAUGUUUCAAAUGCGUUUCAACUGUCUAGUCUCAACAGUCAAACGUUUUGAAGCAGCCUAUGUACCUUUUACUCACAGUUUCCUUUAGCGCAGAAUAGCAGCGUUAGUCCAUUCUGCCCCAGAUAAAAACUCUCUCUGCUAAAGUUAGAAAAGUGAUUACACAUUUAUAAAAUACAGCAUUAAGGCCUGAUUAAGGAGCCGUUAUCACCUGGUUAUAA